rnacentral:rRNA from 1 species
GAUGAACGCUGGCGGCGUGCCUAAUACAUGCAAGUCGAGCGAACAGACGAGGAGCUUGCUCCUCUGACGUUAGCGGCGGACGGGUGAGUAACACGUGGAUAACCUACCUAUAAGACUGGGUUAACUUCGGGAAACCGGAGCUAAUACCGGAUAAUAUAUUGAACCGCAUGGUUCAAUAGUGAAAGACGGUUUUGCUGUCACUUAUAGAUGGAUCCGCGCCGCAUUAGCUAGUUGGUAAGGUAACGGCUUACCAAGGCAACGAUGCGUAGUCGACCUGAGAGGGUGAUCGGCCACACUGGAACUGAGACACGGUCCAGACUCCUACGGGAGGCAGCAGUAGGGAAUCUUCCGCAAUGGGCGAAAGCUUGACGGAGCAACGCCGCGUGAGUGAUGAAGGUCUUCGGAUCGUAAAACUCUGUUAUUAGGGAAGAACAAAUGUGUAAGUAACUAUGCACGUCUUGACGGUACCUAAUCAGAAAGCCACGGCUAACUACGUG